UACGGGGGGAGCAAGCGUUGUUCGAAUUUACUGGGCGUAAAGGGCGCGUAGGCGGUCAGCACAAGUCAGUUGUGAAAUCUCCGGGCUUAACUCGGAAAGGUCAACUGAUACUGUGCGACUAGAGUGCAGAAGGGGCAACUGGAAUUCUCGGUGUAGCGGUGAAAUGCGUAGAUAUCGAGAGGAACACCUGCGGCGAAGGCGGGUUGCUGGGCUGACACUGACGCUGAUGCGCGAAAGCCAGGGGAGCGAACGGG
rnacentral:rRNA from 1 species